rnacentral:rRNA from 1 species
AGUGGGGAAUAUUGCACAAUGGGGGAAACCCUGAUGCAGCCAUGCCGCGUGUGUGAAGAAGGCCUUCGGGUUGUAAAGCACUUUCAGCAGCGAGGAAAAGUUAAGUGUUAAUACCACUUAGCCUUGACGUUAACUGCAGAAGAAGCACCGGCUAACUCCGUGCCAGCAGCCGCGGUAAUACGGAGGGUGCGAGCGUUAAUCGGAAUUACUGGGCGUAAAGCGCAUGCAGGCGGUCUGUUAAGCCAGAUGUGAAAGCCCGGGGCUCAACCCCGGAAUAGCAUUUGGAACUGGCAGACUAGAGUUUUGUAGAGGGGGGUAGAAUUUCAGGUGUAGCGGUGAAAUGCGUAGAGAUCUGAAGGAAUACCAGUGGCGAAGGCGGCCCCCUGGACAAAAACUGACGCUCAGAUGCGAAAGCGUGGGUAGCAAA